rnacentral:rRNA from 1 species
CACGUAGGGCGCAAGCGUUGUCCGGAAUUACUGGGCGUAAAGGGCUCGUAGGCGGCCAACUAAGUCACACGUGAAAUCCCCAGGCUUAACCUGGGAACUGCGUGUGAUACUGGAUGGCUUGAAUUCGGGAGAGGGAUGCAGAAUUCCAGGUGUAGCGGUGAAAUGCGUAGAUAUCUGGAGGAAUACCGGUGGCGAAGGCGGCAUCCUGGACCGACAUUGACGCUGAGGAGCGAAAGCUAGGGGAGCAAACGGG